UCAAAUUGCUGCAAAAUCAAUAAACUACAUAAUAUUAAGAAAAUUGUAGCCAAGGUAGUUUUUGUAAAGUGUAUGUAGAGGAAGCAGUAGGAAUUGUUAAGGGAUUUUCGGUGUUCAAGAAAUUUUAUGUUUACUUCAAUCAGGGGAUAUUUGUUUCAUCAUAGAUGGUACCAAUUCCUUGUAAGUAAUGGAGUAUUCAUAUCAUGUUGUGAUGGAGUUCAUCGUAAACAGAACUCUCUGGAGAAUAAAAAAUAUUUCUUCAGAGAAUCAGGUAAUGUUACCUUUUCAUUCCUGACCCCAGAUCUGUUCUAGAUAGCACAAAAUAAGGUUUUGUGACUAUCACAUAUUGAAAAUAAACUGGAAUUGUGGUACUGUGUCCUGGUUCCAGCCAGGACAGGGUUAAUUUUUACAAUAGCCAGGAGGGGGCAUGGCCAGGCCCCAGAGGUUAUUCUAUACCACUUCAUGUCAUUUUUGGGGGGGGAGAGUGGAAGGGGUGGAAAAGGAGUCUGUUCCUGGGAGAAGGGGUUCCUUCCAGGUCAGAGUAGCUUGGUGGAGUGAUUGCGAAUUGUUGUUUCCACGUGAAUCACUCCUUUCUUGUACCCUCUGUCAUUAGUAUUGUUGCUGUUACUGUUCAUUUUCUUAUCUCAUUGCUGUUUUCAGUAAAUUGCUCUUAUUUCGACCUGAUCUUUACCAAUUCUCCUCUCCAUCUUGCAGGGGAGGGGGAGGCGGGGAAGGAGCAAGUGAGCGGCGCAGUUUCAGUCAGAGCACUAAAUUGGAGAGUACCAUUCCUAAACUACGACACACUGAACUGCAGUGUAAAGGAGCAGAUGUUUUGCAAAACAUCCUGAUGUGUUGCUUUUUCUUGUGGGAGUGCAUAACUGUUCCUUCUGAUGCAUCGACUUGACAGCUGGUUGAUUUCAUGGAACUGCUAAGAAGCCAUUAGUGGUGUCAUUGAAUUGAAACAGAACAGUGGCUCCCAGCUUGAACUGCAAUUGUUAACGUCUUUGUUGCUACUUUUCUCUUCCUAUGCAAAAUGUGGAAUAUCAUAGUUGCAGAUAAAAAGAAGUUUGUGCUCCCUGUCUGAUAUCCCUGAAUGAAGGAAAGGAGGCAUUAGUACCUGA